AUUGAACGCUGGCGGCAUGCUUUACACAUGCAAGUCGAACGGUAACAGGCCGCAAGGUGCUGACGAGUGGCGAACGGGUGCGUAAUGCAUCGGAACGUGCCCAGUCGUGGGGGAUAACUACUCGAAAGAGUAGCUAAUACCGCAUACGAUCUAUGGAUGAAAGCGGGGGACCGUAAGGCCUCGCGCGAUUGGAGCGGCCGAUGUCAGAUUAGGUAGUUGGUGGGGUAAAGGCUCACCAAGCCAACGAUCUGUAGCUGGUCUGAGAGGACGAGCAGCCACACUGGGACUGAGACACGGCCCAGACUCCUACGGGAGGCAGCAGUGGGGAAUUUUGGACAAUGGGCGCAAGCCUGAUCCAGCAAUGCCGCGUGCAGGAAGAAGGCCUUCGGGUUGUAAACUGCUUUUGUACGGAAAGAAACGGCUCUGGUUAAUACCCGGGGCUAAUGACGGUACCGUAAGAAUAAGCACCGGCUAACUACGUG
rnacentral:rRNA from 1 species